rnacentral:sRNA from 1 species
GAUUCCACCAUGUCAAAGAUAAUCUCAUCAUCAGUUCUCUCAUGAGCUCUUAGCCAACUUUCAAUUUUCCAAACAUGCAUGAAGUAUAAACUAGCAGUAGGAUAUGAUGAACCAGAAAUCAGUUUAGUCAUUUCCUCAAAUGGUCUCAAGAACUUGCAUAUAAGCUCUCCUCUAGACCACUCUAACUUUGAAGGAAAGCUCUUAUAACUCGGUUCCAGUUCUGAUAAAUUACGCGACACUUCUUUAAAUUGGAUUGCUUUAGACAACAUCAAGUAUGUGGAGUUCCAUCUAGUAGUCACAUCUAAAAUAAGACCAGCCUUAGUAUGAAUCCCAACUGUUUCCUCACAGCCUUGAAACAUUUGUAUUCUAUAUUAUGAACCCUUCACAAACUUCACACUAUCACAAAUCAUGAGUAAAGCUUAUGAGAUCACCAAAAGAAAUUGAUUUCAGCACUUGCAAUUUGUUUCUUGUUGAGUGCCUACUUUGUGAUACAAUUUGCAAGAGAGGCUGUUCUGAAUGGUCUGAAAGAUCAUAGUAAAAAACUUACAACUCUCAGAAAUGCUCUAUCUAGAUCUACAAUAGCAUUUGUGUCUAAU